UAAAAAGAUAAGCUAAUUAAGCUAUUAGGUUCAUACCCUAAACAUAAAGGUUUUAAUCCUUUUCUUUUU
rnacentral:tRNA from 1 species